AGCAGCAAUUAUUAAAGCAUAUAAUAUCUCGCAACAAGGAAGAGCUCAUUUGUUUUUUGUUUAUAAAGUUUAAUCCAUUGCUCACUCAACAAACAACUAGUAAACCAGUCUUACUAGCUGAGAUAUCCAACAGAAGCAAUGUCUUUCAAACUCUUAGAAUAUAUUCAGUAAACUUGUUCAGUUCCGAAGAAAUCAAUCAAGGAAACACGAACAACGGACAAUUCAACCCAGUACCCUUCAUGCAUAGUUCAACCGGAAAAUGUCAUUCAUCACAUAGAAACUCCCUUGUUGUGUUGGCAUCAAAUGAAACAUCUGCAGUCCAAAAAAGACAGAGGAAGAACAUAGAAAUUUGAGUGUAAAUAAGUUUUGAAACAUUGUAGUCAUCAUAGAACGCCGGACAAAGCAUUUUGCACAGGCUUUAGUAUCUGCAGUUUCUCACAUAUCCCCAGACAAUGCAGCAGGGCUAUAAUCAGAAAUAGAAAUUCCGAUUAAAAAAAUGAGGACUCGAUUGUCAGUACUAAAAAAUUGCCGCUUCUCAUUUUUUCGAAUCAUCAAGAAACAGAAGGCGUUCAAUGGUACGUUUGAAUAUCAGGGAAAGAUGCGAGAAGCAGCAAACAAAAAGCAGGAGAAAGGAAAAGAAAAUGCAAACAGAGUAUUUGCCUAUCUUCUCUUCUAAUUGGUACAUUGACAUCAUAUAAUCUGUCUGUUCCAAGGAUGAGGCCCAAGACCACCCAUUCAACAAUGAAUGAUGUUUCCUAUAGUAAUAGACCUCUGCUCUAUGACAACUAGGGAGGGAAACAAUCAGGCAAUGCUUCAGAAAACAAGUAAAGCAAUCUGCUAAAGAAUAGCUGAUUCAAUCAAAAUAGAAAGUCAGACUUCAUCAAAAAAAAAAUAUUUAAGUGAAAAGCAAGAUAAAGAAA
rnacentral:lncRNA from 1 species